GAAAAGAGAGAAAAUACUCUAUAAUAUUAAGUGAAAAUGUGAGAGAAGAGCGGAAGAGUGUGAGUAUACACGGGAAUAGAAAAAAAAAUAAAAAAAUAUUUUGAUAGAAACGAAUGAAGAUGUGAGUUUAUAAAAAUUUUAAUAUAAAUCAAUGAAGAUGUUAGAUCGUGAAAAUUUUGAUACAAAAAGAUAAAGAUGUGAAA
rnacentral:lncRNA from 1 species